rnacentral:lncRNA from 1 species
CUUCUCUCUCUAAGUUAAACUUAGAGAGAGAAGCUCUCCCCUCCUUCAAAGAACACGCGACCGGAGAAGAUGAAGAGGGGCGGCCGGAGCUGCUCCGGCGCGGUGGUCGGCCGGAGCGCCGGAGUUUUUUUUGCCUUUUUUUUGAAAUUUUUUUACAUCAAAAUACUCCUCUUCCCUUCCUCUACUCGAAUCCAAGCUCAAAAUUUCGAAAACAUGCACCAAAAAUCCUAGAUCUACAAAUGAAAAUGUGAAAUUUUUACCUCUUUUUCCGGUCCCCUUCCUUCCUUCCGGUUCGUUUCUGCUCCCUUUUCCGGUCCGGUUCCGCUUUCCUUCCGGUUCGGCCCCCUUGCUGGUCCGGUUCGCUUCUGCUCCGGUUCGGCCUGCUUGCUGUUCUGGUUCGGUUUGCUUGUUUGGCCUGCUUGCUGUUCUGGUUCGGUUUGCUUGUUUGUGAUUUGUGUGGUUAUAUGAAUAGUUUUGAGGUUUUAGUAAAGUUUUGGUGUUACUGGAUUUUCCUAUGAACCUAUGAAUGUUCUUCCUAAACUCAUACUCUUUUCUUUGUAAUUUUUGGGCUUGAUUUGAAAAAGGGUUGGAAAAGUGGAAAAUUAGGGUUUGUGAAUUGCUGCUGAUUUUCUGACGUGAACAGUGACUUCUGGCCCAUUUCCCAAUGAUUGACAGUGUAUUUAUAGGGACAAACUGUAACGCCCUCCUUGAAUUAUUUGAUUAUUUAAUUAUUUUUAUUGAGUUAGGAUAUAUUUA